rnacentral:rRNA from 1 species
AAGAAUAAUUUACUUAUUAAAAAUUGUUGUUUAGAUUUAAUGAGAAAAAUAAUUUUAAUAAUAUAAAAGAUAGUAGAUUUUAUUGAAAUCAUAUAGAAUAGGUUAAAGAUUAAAAGUAUUGUGAGAGAAUAUUUAAAUAUUUUGAAAAUAAUUUAAAAAAAAAAAAUUAUAUAAUUUGUACUUUGUGUAUCACGGAUUUUUAAAAUUAUAUUGAUAAUAAUAAAUCCCGAAAAAAAAAGAUUUAUAAUUUUAUUAAAGUUUUUAUAUCAUUAAAAUUUUAAAUAUAAAUUAUAGUAGUGAGAUGCUAUGACGAGUUUUUAUAUCUGGUUUUUUAUGAAACAAAUUUAAUUUGAAUUUAAGAUUAAAAAUAAUCUUAAAAUUAAGAAUAUAAGGGUAGAGCUUUAAUAUUCAAUAAUAGAUUUAAAAUGAAUAAAUAAAUUUUUUUAAAAAAAAUUAGGUUUUAUAGUGGCCAUAUUUUUAAAGUGUUUUAACUAAUAGUAUACUUAUAUAUUAUUUUAUUUAUUCUUUUGUUGUAGUAAAAGUUUUUUUUAAAUUUAAAAAGAUUAGAGAUAAUGAAAAUAUUAGUAGAAUAGUAAAAUAUAUAUUUAUUAUUAAAAUAAAUUUAAUAAUAUUUUAUAAUAUAGUAGAUAAAAUUUAAAAGAACUCGGCAAAAAAAGUUCUUGCCUGUUUAACAAAAACAUGUCUGUGUGAAGUUAUACAGAGUCUAGCCUGCCCAUUGAAUAAUUUUAAAAGGCCGCGGUAUAUUAACUGUGCAAAGGUAGCAUAAUCAUUAGUUUUUUAAUUGAAGGCUUGUAUGAAGGGUUGGACAAAGAAUAAUCUGUUUCUAUUUUUGUUUUUGAAUUUGACUUUUAAGUUAAAAGGCUUAAUUGAAUUUAAGGGACGAUAAGACCCUAUAAAUCUUUAUAUUAAAUUAUUUUUAGUUAAUUAAUAAUGUAAUUUUAACAGUAAAAUAAAAUAUAUUGUGUUGGGGUGAUGAGAAUAUAAAAUUAACUGUUCUAAAUUGAAAACAAAUUUAUUUGAAUUAAUAAUAGAUCCUUAAUAGAGAUUAAAAGUUUAAGUUACUUUAGGGAUAACAGCGUUAUUUUUUUUGAGAGUUCAUAUCGAAAAAAAAGUUUGCGACCUCGAUGUUGAAUUAAAAGUUCUUUGUGGUGUAGGUGCUACAAAAGAAAGUCUGUUCGACUUUUAAAUUUUUACAUGAUUUGAGUUCAGACCGGCGUAAGCCAGGUUGGUUUCUAUCUUUGAAUAUAUAAUUUAAAUUAUUUUAGUACGAAAGGACCAAGUAAAUUAAAAUAAUUUUAUUUUAAAGUAAAAUAUUA